rnacentral:rRNA from 1 species
AUGCGUGCGCGCUCUGCGCCAAGCCGCUGGAGCGCGACAGCGACAUCUUCAUGUACAGAGGGGACACCCUUCUGCAGCGAGGAGUGCCGCGACGAGCAGAUGCAGCUCGACGCUAUCUGCUCCAGGCAGGCCGCCCGUAGGCAGGAGCGGCUCUCGUCGGGAUCGGAGGCCCGGCGCUGGCAUCAAGACUCCGGGAAGGUGUCCGUCGCGAGCUAG